rnacentral:rRNA from 1 species
GAAGGCUCUUGGGUCGUAAACCUCUUUUCUCAAGGAAGAAGAAAGUGACGGUACUUGAGGAAUAAGCAUCGGCUAACUCCGUGCCAGCAGCCGCGGUAAUACGGAGGAUGCAAGCGUUAUCCGGAAUGAUUGGGCGUAAAGGGUCUGCAGGUGGAACUGAAAGUCUGCUGUUAAAGAGUUUGGCUUAACCAAAUAAAAGCGGUGGAAACUACAGAACUAGAGUGCGGUAGGGGCAAAAGGAAUUCCUGGUGUAGCGGUGAAAUGCGUAGAUAUCAGGAAGAACACCGGUGGCGAAAGCGUUUUGCUAGACCGUAACUGACACUGAGGGACGAAAGCUAGGGGAGCGAAUGGGAUUAGAUACCCCAGUAGUCCUAGCCGUAAACGAUGGAUACUAGGCGUGGCUUGUAUCGACCCGAGCCGUGCCGGAGCUAACGCGUUAAGUAUCCCGCCUGGGGAGUACGCACGCAAGUGUGAAACUCAAAGGAAUUGACGGGGGCCCGCACAAGCGGUGGAGUAUGUGGUUUAAUUCGAUGCAACGCGAAGAACCUUACCAAGACUUGACAUCCUGCGAAUCCCGGUGAAAGCUGGGAGUGCCUUAGGGAGCGCAGAGACAGGUGGUGCAUGGCUGUCGUCAGCUCGUGUCGUGAGAUGUUGGGUUAAGUCCCGCAACGAGCGCAACCCUCGUUUUUAGUUGCCAGCAUUAAGUUGGGCACUCUAGAGAGACUGCCGGUGACAAACCGGAGGAAGGUGGGGAUGACGUCAAGUCAGCAUGCCCCUUACGUCUUGGGCUACACACGUACUACAAUGCUACGGACAGAGGGCAGCGAGCCAGGGAUGGCAAGCGAAUCCAGAAACCGUAGCUCAGUUCAGAUCGAAGGCUGCAACUCGCCUUCGUGAAGGAGGAAUCGCUA